rnacentral:rRNA from 1 species
AUUGAACGCUGGCGGCAGGCCUAACACAUGCAAGUCGAGCGGAUGACGGGAGCUGGCUCCUUGAUUCAUCGGCGGACGGGCGAGUAAUGCCUAGGAAUCUGCCUGGGAGUGGGGGACAACGUUUCGAAAGGAACGCUAACACCGCAUACGGCCUACGAGAGAAAGCCGGGGACCUUCGGGCCUUGCGCUAUCAGAUGAGCCUAGGUCGGAUUAGCUAGUUGGUGGGUUAAUGGCUCACCAAGGCGACGAUCCGUAACUGGUCUGAGAGGAUGAUCAGUCACACUGGAACGGAGACACGGCCCAGACUACUACGGGAGGCAGCAGUGGGGAAUAUUGGACAAUGGGCGAAAGCCUGAUCCAGCCAUGCCGCGUGUGUGAAGAAGGUCUUCGGAUUGUAAAGCACUUUAAGUUGGAAGGAAGGGCAGUAAGUUAAUACCUUGCUGUUUUGACGUUACCGACAGAAUAAGCACCGGCUAACUCUGUGCCAGCAGCCGCGGUAA